UACGGGGGGGGCAAGCGUUGUUCGGAAUUACUGGGCGUAAAGGGCUCGUAGGUGGCCAACUAAGUCAGACGUGAAAUCCCUCGGCUUAACCGGGGAACUGCGUCUGAUACUGGAUGGCUUGAGUUCGGGAGAGGGAUGCGGAAUUCCAGGUGUAGCGGUGAAAUGCGCAGAUAUCAGGAGGAACACCGGUGGCGAAGGCGGAUCUCUGGGCCGAUACUGACGCUGAGGAGCGAAAGCGUGGGGAGCGAACAGG
rnacentral:rRNA from 1 species